rnacentral:rRNA from 1 species
AACGAACGCUGGCGGCAUGCCUAACGCAUGCAAGUCGAACGAGACCUUCGGGUCUAGUGGCGCACGGGUGCGUCACGCGUGGGAACCUGCCCUUAGGUUCGGAAUAACUCCCCGAAAGGGGUGCUAAUACCGGAUAAUGUCUUCGGACCAAAGAUUUAUCGCCUUUGGAUGGGCCCGCGUUGGAUUAGCUAGUUGGUAGGGUAAAAGCCUACCAAGGCGACGAUCCAUAGCUGGUCUGAGAGGAUGAUCAGCCACACUGGGACUGAGACACGGCCCAGACUCCUACGGGAAGCAGCAGUGGGGAAUAUUGGACAAUGGGCGAAAGCCUGAUCCAGCAAUGCCGCGUGAGUGAUGAAGGCCUUAGGGUUGUAAAGCUCUUUUACCCGGGAUGAUAAUGACAGUACCGGGAGAAUAAGCGCCGGCUAACUCCGUG